GUGAGCCCCAAGGUCCUUUUAACAGUCAUCUUUUCCACCUUCCAUUCUUCUGGCACUGUCGAAUGUAAGGUAGAUUUAAGCAGUUAGUUGGAUAAAACAGGAUUUUGUUUUCUUCAGAAUUUGCGUGCUCAUACCAUCUGAUCUCAACAGUUGCAGUGAGGUCUCAGGGAACAUGAGAAUCAAGACAGAAAAACGCUGCAGAAAAUGCUGAAACAAAUGUUACAGGAACUGCUUGUAAACUCAGCAUGUCCCACUUUAGACUCCCUUUUGACUUAAGAGUUGCAUUACCUAGGCAGAGAUUUCCAGAUGUAUCUCUGAACUUUUAGGUUUAGUAGGUACUUGUAGAGUCUACUGGUUAGUAGACACUGAUAAUGUAAGAAAUGUGUGCAAAAUGCAAUAGAUUUAAUAUAUCACUUGAAAAGAAAUCAUUGAAAAUAUCACAAGAAGGUGUUAAAGACAAAAAAUCAAAAAAGAUAAAAAUGAUUUGCUAGGUAACAGAUCCUGGGUCAGGUAUUUAGGUAUUCCAAUUCCUAAGCGCAAUGAUCAGCUUGUCUUCCUUACCUACCUCCAAACCCAACAACAAAGUAGCAUUUGCUUUUGAGUGAGAAAUAAUGAAUAGACAGAAGUCACUGCUGUAGGGUGUAGUGGAAUCAGGUAUAGAUGAGUGAAGUUCCUGUAACUAAUUGUAACUGUAUGUACAGAUUGGUAGAAUGAAGAAAAAAAAUGCCCUGAAAAAGAAUACAUGGGCUUUACACCUUCAGAGUUAUAGAUUCUGAUUUGUGAAGAAGAGGAAGGGUUUCCCAGAUGUGACCUUCCUUCCUUCCACCCACCCAUUCAUCCAUCCACUCAUCCAUCCAGUCAUCCACUGAUCCAUCCAUCCAUCCAUCCAUCCAUCCAUCCACCUGUCUAUCCAUCCAUCCAUCCAUCCACCUGUCUAUCCAUCCAUCCAUCCAUCCAUCCACCCACCCAUCUAUCCAUCCAUCCAUCCAUCCAUCUGUCCAUCCGUCCAUUCAUCCAUCCACCUAUAUGUCAUUACCUCAGCCUGGGGCAGUGUGGAAUGGUGUUUCUUGUUGGUCACCUCUGGUGCCACAUUGUUCAUAUAACACACUAGCUUGACCCUAAAGACAAAUUGGUCAGACCUAUGUACUGUAAAAUUUCUCACAACGACAAGGUUACUUCUGACUUCAGAGGGUAGGAGUAAAGGGAUGUGAGAUCACAUGAGGAUAUUUAAAAAAAAUACAUGGUUGUGGAAGGCAACGUACUUAACCAGCAAAUCCCUAUGGGAGUGAGAAAGCUGAUUCCAUGUUAUUUGACCAGAAUGUGCUGCAGGCUGGGCACGUGCCGGAUAUACUCGGCACAUUAAGACCUGGGAGUUGCUCUUUGAUUGUCUGAACUAUAAUUUGCAGCCUGAUGCCUGAAAAUAAACUGGAAUUUUUCAAGGACAGGAAGCUGUGCACUGUCAUCCUCCCAAUGUCACCCUCGGUGCCACCUCAAUAGGAUUUCCCAUUGUUCGAGGUCAGAAUUAUGAACUGACCUCAGAAAAAUAUCUUCAGGCACCAGCAAACCCAAAUGCUAACCUGGGCAGUGGCAUUCUGUUUGCUGUGAGUGGCGAGAUGUGCAAACCCCUGUUCACCAUGCUGAACAACACUGAGCUAAAGCAGUCAACCUCCCACCCCAAGCUCCACAAACUGGCCUUUGCGGGUGUGCUCUUCAGUUAAGGAUAUUAAAUUAAGGCAUAAACUAUUUAUUGCUUGUGGAUGAUCGUACCAUGCUCCUGUCACAUCUCCUUUUGUUGCUACUGGGCACAAAAAUUCUG
ensembl:lncRNA